rnacentral:rRNA from 1 species
UCCUACGGGGGGCAGCAGUGGGGAAUCUUCCGCAAUGGGCGCAAGCCUGACGGAGCAACGCCGCGUGAAUGAAGAAGGUCUUCGGAUCGUAAAGUUCUGUUCUUAGGGAAGAAGUCUUAGGUUGUGAAUAAUGACUUAAGGUGACGGUACCUAUGGAGAAAGCUCCGGCUAACUACGUGCCAGCAGCCGCGGUAAUACGUAGGUGGCGAGCGUUAUCCGGAAUGAUUGGGCGUAAAGGGUGCGUAGGCGGCCUGCUAAGUCUGGAGUGAAAGGUACCGGCUCAACCGGUACAGGCUCUGGAAACU